rnacentral:rRNA from 1 species
CGCUGGCGGCGUGCCUAAUACAUGCAAGUCGAACGGUCUUUUCUAUGGAAGCUUGCUUCCACUGAGAAGAUAGUGGCGAACGGGUGAGUAACACGUGGGUAACCUGCCCAUAAGAGGGGGAUAACAUCCGGAAACGGGUGCUAAUACCGCAUAGUUUUCUUGAUCGCAUGAUUGAGAAAGGAAAGACGGCCUUUGUGCUGUCGCUUAUGGAUGGACCCGCGGCGUAUUAGUUAGUUGGUGAGGUAACGGCUCACCAAGACGAUGAUACGUAGCCGACCUGAGAGGGUGAUCGGCCACAUUGGGACUGAGACACGGCCCAAACUCCUACGGGAGGCAGCAGUAGGGAAUCUUCCGCAAUGGACGAAAGUCUGACGGAGCAACGCCGCGUGAGUGAAGAAAGGUUUUCGGAUCGUAAAACUCUGUUGUCAGAGAAGAACAAGUUGGAGAGUAACUGCUCCAGCCUUGACGGUAUCUGACCAGAAAGCCACGGCUAACUACGUGCCAGCAGCCGC